GUUUACCUACGGGGCGCAGCAGUCAGGAAUAUUGCGCAAUGGAGGAAACUCUGACGCAGUGACGCCGCGUGCAGGAAGAAGGUUUUCGGAUUGUAAACUGCUUUAGACAGGGAAGAAAAAAGACAGUACCUGUAGAAUAAGCUCCGGCUAACUACGUGCCAGCAGCCGCGGUAAUACGUAGGGAGCAAACGUUAUCCGGAUUUAUUGGGUGUAAAGGGUGCGUAGACGGGAAUGCAAGUUGGUUGUGCAAUCCCUCGGCUUAAUUGAGUAACUGCAACCAAAACUACAUUUCUUGAGUGCUGGCG
rnacentral:rRNA from 1 species